UUGAAUUUUGGUGAUUAAAAGUCUUUUGGAUGAUUUUAGUAGAUUUGUGUAAAUAUUAACCGCGAAAAAGGCGUCACGUGAUUUCAGUUAAGAAGGGAAGACAUGUUUUAUAAGAGAAGUGAUUUUAUAGUAAAUUAUGAGAAAUAGUAAGGGUUCACAGCUAACCUGUCACAACCAUCACUGGAGAGAGCAGAGAAUUACAAGAGACAUUGUUGUGUUGUGUUGUGUGUGAGUGAAAGCCAUUCAUUUCCAUAAAUUGGAUGGAAUUAUCAUUCUAUCACGGUCAACGUUAGAUGAUAAGGAAAACGUCUGAGAAAUGCACUGUAGAGAACUGUAUGUGCAUAAGCAGCAUAUGUGGACUUUGUGGUGUUAUGGACGUAUUAGAAAGUUUGGGUUUUCUUGAUUAUAACAGGAACUCUGAACGAACUAUAAAUUGUGGUGUAAGAAUACUGGAAAGAAUUAUUAAUAUUACUGGAGCAUAAUAAACUAAUAUUAAAAACAGAACCCACCUCUUGACUUACUUCUAAAUUUAUUUAUUACUGGGUAAGCCAGAAGGAUACAUAUAUUUCUCACAUUGGUACCAUUGCUCUUAACUCAGAGUCAAGUUCACAAAGAUCCGAUCACACUAUUUGGAAUGUG
rnacentral:lncRNA from 1 species